AUUGAACGCUGGCGGCAGGCCUAACACAUGCAAGUCGAGCGGAUGGAGGGAGCUUGCUCCUGGAUUCAGCGGCGGACGGGUGAGUAAUGCCUAGGAAUCUGCCUGGUAGUGGGGGAUAACGUCCGGAAACGGGCGCUAAUACCGCAUACGUCCUGAGGGAGAAAGUGGGGGAUCUUCGGACCUCACGCUAUCAGAUGAGCCUAGGUCGGAUUAGCUAGUUGGUGGGGUAAAGGCCUACCAAGGCGACGAUCCGUAACUGGUCUGAGAGGAUGAUCAGUCACACUGGAACUGAGACACGGUCCAGACUCCUACGGGAGGCAGCAGUGGGGAAUAUUGGACAAUGGGCGAAAGCCUGAUCCAGACAUGCCGAGUGUGUGAAGAAGGUCUUCGGAUUGUAAAGCACUUUAAGUUGGGAGGAAGGGCAGUAAGUUAAUACCUUGCUGUUUUGACGUUACCAACCGAAUAAGCACCGGCUAACUUCGUG
rnacentral:rRNA from 1 species